UACGGAGGAUGCAAGCGUUAUCCGGAUUCAUUGGGUUUAAAGGGUGCGCAGGCGGCCUGUUAAGUCAGCGGUGAAAGUCAGGGGCCCAACCCCGGAAGUGCCGUUGAUACUGAUGGGCUUGAAUGCGGUCGAGGCGGGCGGUAUGUGGUGUGUAGCGGUGAAAUGCAUAGAUAUGCCACAGAACGCCGAUAGCGAAGGCAGCUCGCCAGGCCUGCAUUGACGCUCAGGCACGAAAGCGUGGGGAUCAAAC
rnacentral:rRNA from 1 species